rnacentral:rRNA from 1 species
AGUAACGCGUGAGAAUCUGCCCUCAGGAGGGGGACAACAGUUGGAAACGACUGCUAAUACCCCAUAUGCCGCGAGGUGAAAUGAAUUUCGCCUGAGGAUGAGCUCGCGUCUGAUUAGCUAGUUGGUGUAGGUAAUGGCUCACCAAGGCAUCGAUCAGUAGCUGGUCUGAGAGGAUGAUCAGCCACACUGGGACUGAGACACGGCCCAGACUCCUACGGGAGGCAGCAGUGGGGAAUUUUCCGCAAUGGGCGAAAGCCUGACGGAGCAACGCCGCGUGAGGGAUGAAGGCCUCUGGGCUGUAAACCUCUUUUAUCAAGGAAGAAGAUCUGACGGUACUUGAUGAAUAAGCCACGGCUAAUUCCGUG